rnacentral:lncRNA from 1 species
CUGAUUUCUAUUACACAGAACAUUAAUAAGAGAAGGCACUGACCCUCGAUUUCCGAGAACCAGGGAGAAAUUUGGAGCAUCUCCAAGAUUACAGCUGCCAGUGGCGAUGGGGAGAGUGGCCGUGAUAGCUCAUCUUCGGCCUCUCCUUCUGGCCAUCCAAGCUCUGGACUCAGCUCCGCCUGUCACAGCCAAACAGGACAGGGAGAUCAUGGGAAAGAAAAGCGGAAGACACAGAGCCAUCCGCGUGCAGUUACUCGGCAGCUUUGUAAAGAUCAUCUCCUGUUUGGAAAGGAAGCCUGCCACUCUUCCGCGUGGUUCAGAGGACAAAUCUUCCCUGGAGAUAAAUUCUUCAAAUUAAAGGGGCCUCACCUUAGAGGACUUCUUCACCAUAGAGGAAUCCACCGUAAAGUAAAAGCAGAGAUGCGCCCCAUGGUUUAUGUUCAAGUAUAUUUGUCACAACUGCACUGGUAAGGGCAAAAAGUUAGAAACAACUCUGCGUGUGUGUGUGUGUGUGUGUGUGCAUGCAUAUAUGCGCAUGUCUGACUCUUUGCGACCCCAUGGACUGUAGCCCGCCAGACUCCUCUGUCCCUGGAAUUUUCCAGACCAAACUACUGGCGCAGGUUGCCAUUUCCUUCUCCAGGGGAUCUUCCAGACCCAGGAAUGGAACCUGCGUCUUUUUCAUCUCCUGCGUUGGCAGGCAGAUUCUUUACCAAUUGAGCCACCAGGGAAU